rnacentral:tRNA from 1 species
UGCAGAUGUAGCUCAGUGGUAGAGAGCUUGCCUAGCAUGGAGAAGGCCUUGGAGUUUAACUCCCAACACUGCAA